rnacentral:misc_RNA from 1 species
GCCUCUCCUUCCUCUCUCCCCCCUUCUCCCUUCUUUACCCAAGAGAAAGGGUUCUUGUUUAACCAAAAUUUGAGGAUUAAAUAUUAACACCUUGAAUUUUUUACCCUCUCUUAACUUUUACCAAAAGGGGUAAAGAAGGUAAAAGUUUCAAUGUUGAAUUCUUAACCACCUUUACCCCUCUGCCAAACACAAUGGUUAGUAUAUUCUUUUUUGGUUAAGCCCCUCCCUGUAAGUUAAUUGAUGGGGGGGAAAAGUUAUUUAAUUACUUUUAUUAGUAUAUAUCACAAUUAAAAUUACUAAUAUAAUAUUAGACUAUUAUAAAUAAAUAAUUAUAACAUUCACCUUUACUAACAUAAUCAAUUGUUACCAUUACAACUCUACUCUCGAUCGUUACCUCCUUAUUUAUUACACUAUUAAGCAUUACACUUGUAAAUUUUUAAACUCUAUCCUUUAACCUGAAAACAAAAUGCAACUAGGUGAAGAAGUGAAAUAAAAAGUUACUUGUGAAACAACUAAAUGUAUUUGGUCCAAGGUUACAAAAGUACAAGGUGAAUGCCAUGUAUACUUAUUUAUUAUAUAUAUAUUUUUUUAUUAUGUUAAUAAUUUUAAUCGAGGUAAAUGCUAAUGAAAAUUAAAUGUGCAUGUGUGUGUGUGCCCUCCCCCCAACCCCAUUCCUGGAGGGGAGAAGUUAACAAAAUUACACUAAAAGGGUUAUCUGCCUUGAUUCUUACCUUCCUUUUAUCUCCAUUGCUAAUUUUAGAACAAUAACAAUGAAAAUGUAUGUUAUUGAGAACUUCAGGGGCUUUUAUAACUAUUUCAAAGUAAAACUAAUGCUGUAAUUUUAAAUGCAAGACAAGGAUCAAGAACAGUUCACCAAGCAACUGCUAUACUACCUGGGAGGCUUUGCUGGAGGAAUUCC